CAGCCGCCGCGGUAAUACGUAGGGUGCGAGCGUUAAUCGGAAUUACUGGGCGUAAAGCGUGCGCAGGCGGUUCGUUAAGACAGAUGUGAAAUCCCCGGGCUUAACCUGGGAACUGCAUUUGUGACUGGCGAGCUAGAGUAUGGCAGAGGGGGGUAGAAUUCCACGUGUAGCAGUGAAAUGCGUAGAGAUGUGGAGGAAUACCGAUGGCGAAGGCAGCCCCCUGGGCCAAUACUGACGCUCAUGCACGAAAGCGUGGGGAGCAAACAGGAUUAGAUACCCCUGUAGUCCCUGUCUCUUAUAA
rnacentral:rRNA from 1 species